rnacentral:rRNA from 1 species
AAGGAGGUGGAAAAUACGAACAACAGUUUAAACACCAAAGAAUUUGGCGGUGUCUUACUAUAUUAGGGGAACCUGUCCCUUAAAUCGAUAAUCCACGAAAGUCUUACCUAAUUUUGAAACUCAGUUAGUGUACUGCCGUCUCAAGUAUACCUUUAUGAGAGUAUACAAUUAAUUACUCAAUAAAACGUCAGGUCAAAGUGCAGCUUAUAGUUAGGAGGAGAUGGGUUACAACCUAAAUAAAGAAUAUGGAUAAGGAUAAUAAACUAUCCUUUGAAGGUGGACUUAACAGUAAUUAUUAAUAUUAUAAUGAAAAUUAUAUAAGACAAGUACACAUCGCCCGUCGCUCUUAUUACA